CAGCAGCCGCGGGAAAACGGAGGGUGCAAGCGUUAAUCGGAAUUACUGGGCGUAAGCGCACGCAGGCGGUCUGACAAGUCAGAUGUGAAAUCCCUGGGCUUAACCUGGGAACUGCAUUUGAAACUGUCAGGCUGGAGUCUUGUAGAGGGGGGUGGAAUUCCAGGUGUAGCGGUGAAAUGCGUAGAGAUCUGGAGGAAUACCGGUGGCGAAGGCGGCCCCCUGGACAAAGACUGACGCUCAGGUGCGAAAGCGUGGGGAGCAAACAGGAUUAGAUACCCCUGUAGUCCCUGUCUCUUAUACA
rnacentral:rRNA from 1 species